AUGCUCAUUUCAGCAGCACAUAUGUUAAAAUUGGAAUGAUACAGAGAAGAUUAGCAUGGCCCCUGCGCAACAAUGACAUGCAAAUUCAUGAAGCGUUUCCACAUUCUU